AGGACGAACGCUGGCGGCGUGCUUAACACAUGCAAGUCGAGCGGAAAGGCCCUUCGGGGUACUCGAGCGGCGAACGGGUGAGUAACACGUGAGCAACCUGCCCUUAGCUCUGGGAUAGCUCCGGGAAACGGGGUCUAAUACCGGAUAAUACCUGCUGAGGCAUCUCGGCGGGUUGAAAGCUCCGGCGGUGCAGGAUGAGCCCGCGGCCUAUCAGCUUGUUGGUGGGGUGAUGGCCUACCAAGGCGACGACGGGUA
rnacentral:rRNA from 1 species